CUAGAUUUGAUCUUGAAUAAGUCACUUAACUUCUUGCAAAUUAAUUUUAACUAUAAAAUUAAGAAUUUGUAUUAUAUUUUCUCUGAGGUCCUUUACAGAUUUAAUUCUCUCUAAUUCGUUUGUUUACACAGAGAGAGUCAGAAGUAUUGAUAUUGCCCUAAUACCAGGUUCUAUUGAGCAUAAAUAAAUGAGUUAUGAGUUCCCACACCUGCUCAUGUGGGAGCUAGAAUUUUUCUUGUCAAUUAUAGUCUAAAAUUUCAAUGCUAUAGACACAGGAGGUGAUAAUGGUGGGUUAGGCAAAGAAAAAAGUAGUUUUGUCUUCAAAUAGAACAGCAUAGAGAAAGUAACAAUGUGAAUUGAUGGCAGUUUGGGUACAUAGUUGAUGAAUUGGUGGUUUUGUUCUUCUGCCAAAAGUAGAGGAAUAACACACAGGUUUGUUUGUAGGUGAAAUGUUAGGAGAAUGAUGAGGUUGAUCCAAAGCAACUUCUCUAUAUUUUAUCUAAUGUUAAAUGAAGGAGCAAAGCUCUUCAAGAAAAUGCAUACAAGGACCAAAACAAGUUCAAUGGUUAGGAAUCUCAUUUAUUAUCUUUAUUAAUGAUGCAUUAAUUUUUUUACCAAUAUACAGAAAAAGAAGGAAUGAAGGAAGGCAGGCAGGAAGGAAGGCAGGCAGGAAGGAGGGAGGGAUAGAGGAAGGAAAGAAAGAAAGAAAGAAAGAAAGAAAGAAAGAAAGAAAGAAAGAAAGAAAGAAAGAAAGAAAGAAAGAAAGAAAGAAAGAAAGAAAGAAAGAAAGAAAGAAAGAAAGAAAGAAAGAAAGAAAGAAAGAAAGAAAGAAAGAAAGAAAGAAAGAAAGAAAGAAAGAAAGAAAGAAAGAAAGAAAGAAAGAAAGAAAGAAGAAAAAAAGAAAGAAGGAAGGAAGGAAGGAAGGAAGGAAGGAAGGAAGGAAGGAAGGAAGGAAGGAAGGAAGGAAGGAAGGAAGGAAGGAAGGAAGGAAGGAAGGAAGGAAGGAAGAGGAAGGAAGGAAGGAAGGAAGGAAGAGGAAGGAAGGAAGGAAGAAAAGGGAAAGAAGGAAGGAAGGAAGGAAGGAAGGAAGGAAGGAAGGAAGGAAGGAAGGAAGGAAGGAAGGAAGGAAGGAAGGAAGGAAGGAAGGAAGGAAGGAAGGAGGGAAAUAUAUGAUUGAAAACCUGUUACCCUAAAAACGAACU
rnacentral:lncRNA from 1 species